rnacentral:other from 1 species
GUCUUGCUGCGGCUCGCGUCGAAGGCUUCACAUCCCGGGGACCUUAAUCAUCCUCGAAGGGAGCUGUCCCUGUUCGGGUCCGUGGACCCGCGCACACGGCGCCCACCUGGCUAUCCAGGUCCGAGGGGAUUGAAACUGCCUUCACGGUUCUACGCGGCGCCGCC